UACGAAGGGGGCUAGCGUUGCUCGGAAUCACCGGGCGUAAAGCGCACGUAGGCGGCUUGUUAAGUCAGGGGUGAAAUCCUGGAGCUCAACUCCAGAACUGCCUUUGAUACUGGCGAGCUUGAGUUCGGGAGAGGUGAGUGGAACUGCGAGUGUAGAGGUGAAAUUCGUAGAUAUUCGCAAGAACACCAGUGGCGAAGGCGGCUCACUGGCCCG
rnacentral:rRNA from 1 species